ACGGGCUGAAGGGGAGGCAACUAAAACAAGGACAGAGCAAAACAGAGGAAAAGGGGGAGAAACAAGGGGGCGGCUACGAAGUUUUGGAAAAGGGGGGGUUUUGGGUGGCGGACAAAAAGGGAAAAACAGAACAGAAGCAAAAAAAAGAAACCGGAGGGGGGCAAGCGAAGGCGGUGAGCUGAGGAAGGAAGCUGAGAAAAACAUAGCCAAGCUGCAAGGAAAAGGCAGAAGAAAAAGAAAAGCCUACGGCAAGAAAAAACAAGGGACGGCUGAUGACAAAAUAGUUGGCGGAUGAAAAGGAAAAGGCAGAGGAACAGGCCGAAGUUGAAGAAAUCAAGAAAACCAAAAUUGAAGGAACCACUGCAACCCGGAGCUGCCAUCGCCGGAAUCCGCCGCUGCCAUCCGUGAAUUGCCACCGUGAGAGGCCACUGUAAGGUAAUUACUCCGUUUAUAAUUCAGUCUUCAUUUAAGCAUAAGCUCUGAAGCUUUUAGAGCAUGUCUAUCGUGUUUUGCUAUGAGCAUUUUUUGUUUCAAUUUUAUGCUGAUUGUUCAUGUUUCUUUGAAUACCCAUGCUUUGUAUGACUGAUUGAGCUAGAAUCUUUUUGUUGUUGAUAAUUUUGGGCUGAUUAUAACACCGAUGGAGCAAAGAACCGAGAAAAUUUUAAUGCCCAUUCACUGUUUGAUGAAAUGCCCAAACGAAAUUUCAAACCAAAAGAAUCAAGCUUGUGCGUUUUCUGUUUAUGUCCAAAAGGAAAUCUGGCCAGCCCAAAGCUGGGCAGAACCUGUGCGUUCCACCAGUUGGGAAGGGGGAAGAAGCCAAACGUUUUCACGUUCAUUUGCAUAAGAAGAAGAAAGCUUCAGUGAAGCCUGAAUGAAUAAGUUUCUGAAAAUUUUGCAAUUGGCCCUAGUCCUUUGGUGAAACCACAUUAAAGCCUGCGUAACUUCCAAAUCUUGUUCAUUUAUAUCCCUAUUUUGUUGUAUUUGAACACCCCAGGUUCCCACCUUGUUCACCGUGGCCUCAAAAUUAGGAAAAAUCAAAUCCAUUUUGCCUUUCUUGAGCUUAAUUCUAUGUUUGCUUAUUUUAUGUGACUCUUUUGGGAUAAAUUAAUUCUUGUUUUAGGUCAUAAUUGUGGUUUAAUAUAAUUUAAUUUUACCAUGUUGGAUUUGAUGAAAUAAGUGUUUGGGCUAGAGGGUCAAGGCCCAUCUAUUUGGUUGGCUUUUUUUUUGGGCCAAAAUAAUAUACUAGCCCAUUUGUUUUUCCUUGGACUUCCGAUUGGGCCAAGUGAUCUUGGCCCAAGAAAAGUGAAAAUGGCCCAUUCCCUUUUGUUUUGGAUUUCCGAUUGGGCCUGGAAGGUUUUGGCCCAAGUAAAUAAGGAAAAAUGGCCCAAUGGUUUGGUCCAUUAAGAAACCAGAAAAUUAUUUUGCAAAUCAGCCCCUGCAUUUUUCCAUAACUGUACUGUGGCCCUUGACAUUUCCAUUCCUUUCAAUUGAGUCCCUGGUUCAAUUGCAAAUGAGUCCCUGAACUUUAUUUUUCUUUAAUUUUGGCCCCAAAAUUUUUGCCAAUCUUUGCAAUCAAGUCCUUUCUUCUCUUGACUUCUUAAAUGUGGGUUGUUGACAUGAUUUAAUUGAUUCAAAUUCAUGUUUAUUUUUAUCCUUUGUGAUUAUUUGUCAAAUAAAUUGGCACAUUGACUCCUUUAUUAUUUUGGAGGGUAAAUAAGUUGAUUUCACUCCAUUAGAGUUUCAUUUCAAGGGAGGUAUAAUUUCUUUUAUUCCUUUUGUCUCUCCUAUGUGAUCCAAUGUGCUAAGUGUGAAUCGCAUGCCUAAUUUGCUUUCAUUACCAUUCUUUAGUUCCAUUAUUUCAUUCAUUCUUGCUUUUAUUAAAUUAUUCUUUUAAAUGGGGUAUGUGUACACCUCUUGGCUUGUAAUAGAUAGGGCUGUGGCGAGCAAUUUGAUCCAUUUUUCCUUUUCCCCUUUUUUUUAGUUAGUGAAUGUAAUAGGUUCAUUAGUUUGGUUGCAUGCCUACGUGUUAAGUGUCAAUUUGCUUUGUUAGGGCCUUGCAUUUAGUCGAGCAUGCUAAAUGUUAUGUGCUAUGUGUUUAUGAGUGUUUCGCAUGUCUACUCGCUUUUUAUAGUCAUGAAUGAAUGUGAUGGAUGAAUGGACGUAACCACACUAGUCCAAUGCUAGUUGUGGCCCCCUUUCCCGUCACCACACUAGUCCAACGCUAGUUGUGGUUCAUUGUUCCGUUUCCACUAGUCCAAUGCUAGUAGAAAUUCAUAGAAAGGGCUAGUCCAACGCUAGACCCAAUAGGUCCAUUUCCUUUUCAUUCGCACAUCAUUUACUUGUUCAUCACAUAUCACGCAUUUUCCUUAGUUUUAUCAUUUGGCAUGAUCCUCGAACCCCUUUUCCCCUCAUUUUAGGUUUUGCAUCCCAUACUAGCUAUAGGGUUCAUUUUGCUUGAGUGUCCCCUCCGAUAAGGGAAACGAGCGAGUGUGGCUACUCGAUAGCCUUAGCACGCUAGUUUUGCCUUCAAAUCAAAGGGAAAAUCGAAGUCGAAAAAGUUAAGAGUCAUUCCCAUACCCGACCUGAUGCAUUCCUUUAGAUUCAUUCAUUCUCAAUUUUUCACUUAAUCACUUUUUCAAUUCACAUUUCCUCAUUACUUUUCCUUUCCUUAUUGUUCAAUUUUGGUUUCUACUUCACAAAAUUGCACUUAAUUACACCUAUAUGCACUUAUCACUAUAUUUCAUACACUUGCACACAAACACUUGGAUUUUUCAUACAAUUUCACACAUGCACCUUUUCAUACACUUGCACACAAACACUUGGAUUUUUCAUACAAUUUCACACGUUCACCUUUUUAUACACUUGCACACUUGCACUUUAGCCAUCAUUUGCAUUAAUCGACCUCUAUAAGGUUUUCCUUUAUUGGCCGCCCCAAUUCAUGUGGUUGGGACCAAAAACCUUACAAGAGACAUUUUAGAAUUUAGGUUUGCAUUUUUUCCUUCUUUUUGCAUUCAUGUAGUGCAUCCAAAUGUAAUAAAUUCUUUGGUUAAAACAAGAAAAUUUUUGAUUAAAUCAUGCAACUAGCAUUGGCUAGGUCAAAGGGGUGCCUUGGAUUUUAUCCUUGCCUUCCCCUUUGUCAAAUGUGACUCCCGAACCUUUUUCAUUGGUUUACGUAGAUUAGGAGUCGUUUAAAAAGGGUUUCUCACUACUUUUUCCUAUUUUUCUUUAAAAAUACAUUUUUUAGGUAACUUGGUACACCUUAACUCAUUACCAAGUGGCGACUCCGUAUUUAGUUUUAAAAACCCUUUUUAAACUAUAAUUUUGGGUCAAAUCGUCGCAUUCUCAAAAUCCCAUUGAGGCCCACUUUUCUUUCAAAUCAAAAAUUCAUUUUUUUCAAAUCAAAACACAAUUCUUCAAAUCCAUUUAUUUAUUUAUCAAAAAAUGGGGCGCGACAAAAAAGAUUAGACAUAUUUUCCAUAAAGUUUUUUGAUAAGAGAAUAGAGUGCAAACCAUAUCAAGACUUAACAAUUUCUUAUUAACAAAAGAAAUGCGUCCAACACGCUUCCAUACCUUAGAUCUGAUUUUCGACCGCAAAAACUCCGGCUACCUCCCUGAGGACUUCUUACUUGGGCGUUGCAGCCUCCAACCACUGGGGUGACUUCCUUUAAGGGCCGCUUCAGAGUUUUACAGCACAGCUUAGUUUCGUUUCCUACCUCUAAGCGUACUCAGAUGUAAAUAUGAAAAGAUGUGAAGAAACUUGUUUCUCUUAUAAUGAAGAAAGUUAGGUACAAGAUGAUAGCCUAGCACACUACUCUCUCUCUCCCUUUAUUUCUUAUACAUGAGAGAAAAUUUUAAGACCAUCGGUAGUAGAACUCUAGUGCUUUUCUCAAUUUUUCCUUACUAACACUAAUUUCAACUCUAAGUCCCUCUCUCUUCCUUCAUAUGGCGUCUGCAUAUUUAUAAAUGUUUGGCGGACUUCAAUGUUGGAUGUGAAUUGAUUUUUCCACGGACUCCUUCUUUCUUCAAUUCUGCGGACUUGAACAAUAUACUUUGGAUUCCGGGAGUGUGAUUAUGGUUUGUAAGGCGUGCACGGUGUCCAUCAGGUGCCAAGGCUGUCAAACUUCAGUUGCUGCAAUUUGCUACUCUAUUGACAGUUUUUUGACAGUCGAAACCUCCUCGCAAAGUUAUUUGUAAAGCUGUUUUGUGGAUACCUCCGUUUCCAAGUUGGGUGAAAUUCCAAUGGCAUGGCUACGGGGGCUGGAUUGGUUCGACAGCAAGGCAAGGUCGAAUGGUUCGGUUUGGUUACAUGGCUACGGAAGAGCAAUGGCUCUAUUGGAAGGUCUUAAAAUGCGUAUCUCAUGGCAUUAGCAAUGUUUGUGGGAAGUUAAUUCAAAGGUUCUAAUUCAUUUGUUACAGCUUCGAGCUCAAGACGCUCAAAAACUCAAUUCUCGCGUUCAGCCUCCUCCUCAAUUGCAUGCUAUAGUCCUUUUCUUUAUUUGCGCUAAUUCAUUGUUAUGGGAGUACUAUUCCUUUUUUACCGUUUUUCUCUUGUACUAGAGAUAAGGUUGAUGUGCCCCUCCUAAUCUUUUUACAAUUUAAUAUUAAUAAAAUAUAGGACUA